rnacentral:rRNA from 1 species
AUGAAUGGCUAAACGAGGGCUUAACUGUCUCCCCUUUCCAGUCAGUGAAAUUGAUCUGCCCGUGCAGAAGCGGACAUAAAAAUACAAGACGAGAAGACCCUUUGGAGCUUAAGGUACAAAACUCAACCACGUCAAGCGACUCAAUAAAAAGCAAAAACUUUGUGGAAUAUGAGAUUUUACCUUCGGUUGGGGCGACCACGGAGGAAAACAAAGCCUCCAAGUGGAUUGGGACAAACCUCCUAAAACCAAGAGAGACAUCUCUAAGCCACAGAACAUCUGACCAAACAUGAUCCGGCUGCCCGAAGCCGAUCAACGAACCAAGUUACCCUAGGGAUAACAGCGCAAUCCUCUCCCAGAGUCCAUAUCGACGAGAGGGUUUACGACCUCGAUGUUGGAUCAGGACAUCCUAAUGGU